UACGGAGGGGCUAGCGUUGUUCGGAAUUACUGGGCGUAAAGCGCACGUAGGCGGCUUUGUAAGUUAGAGGUGAAAGCCUGAUGCUCAACAUCCAGAAUUGCCUUUAAGACUGCAUCGCUUGAACGUCGGAGAGGUGAGUGGAACUCCGAGUGUAGAGGUGAAAUUCGUAGAUAUUCGGAAGAACACCAGUGGCGAAGGCGGCUCACUGGCCCGGUACUGACGCUGAGGUGCGAAAG
rnacentral:rRNA from 1 species